GACGAACGCUGGCGGCGUGCUUAACACAUGCAAGUCGAACGGAAAGGCCCUGCUCUUGUGGGGUGCUCGAGUGGCGAACGGGUGAGUAACACGUGAGUAACAUGCCCUUGACUUAGGGAUAAAUUCUGGAAACUGGGGCUAAUACAGGAUAGGAGCUACUGCUGCGUGGUGGUGGUUGGAAAGUUUCGGCGGUUGGGGAUGGACUCGCGGCUUAUCAGCUUGUUGGUGGGGUAGUGGCUUACCAAGGCUUUGACGGGUAGCCGGCCUGGGAGGGUGACCGGCCACAUUGGGACUGAGAUACGGCCCAGACUCCUACGGGAGGCAGCAGUGGGGAAUAUUGCACAAUGGGCGGAAGCCUGAUGCAGCAACGCCGCGUGCGGGAUGACGGCCUUCUGGUUGUAAACCGCUUUCGCCUGUGACGAAGCGUGAGUGACGGUAAUGGGUAAAGAAGCACCGGCUAACUACGUG
rnacentral:rRNA from 1 species